AGGGUUCGAUUCUGGCUCAGGAUGAACGCUGGCGGCGUGCCUAACACAUGCAAGUCGAACGGUUAAACCGGCUUCGGCCGGAAAUAGAGUGGCGAACGGGUGAGUAACACGUGACCAACCUGCCCCGCGCACCGGGAUAGCCCCCCGAAAGGGGGAUUAAUACCGGAUGCGCCGGGAGGGCCGCAUGGCCCUCCCGGGAAAGCCUUUGCGGCGCGGGAUGGGGUCGCGGCCCAUCAGGUAGUAGGCGGGGUAGAGGCCCGCCUAGCCUACGACGGGUAGCCGGGUUGAGAGACCGACCGGCCACAUUGGGACUGAGAUACGGCCCAGACUCCUACGGGAGGCAGCAGUGGGGAAUAUUGCGCAAUGGGGGCAAACCCCCUGACGCAGCAACGCCGCGUGCGGGACGAAGGCCUUCGGGUUGUAAACCGCUUUCAGCAGGGAAGACAUCGACGGUACCUGCAGAAGAAGCCCCGGCUAACUACGUGCCAGCCGCAGC
rnacentral:rRNA from 1 species